rnacentral:lncRNA from 1 species
AAAAACUCUGAAAGUAAAAUGACGUGUCAAAAUUUGGAAAGGGUACGAGUAGGUAGCAUGGAAAAAUGAAUACACUUAUAGGUAAGAUUAAAAUUGGCUCUAUGAACUUUCCUUCUUCCUUUUCAUUUUUCUUCUUCCUCCUUAUAUAUUAAUGAUUUUCCCCCAUCUUCUCCCUCGCUUCAAUCUUUCUCCUUCUUCUGCUUCACUUUCUUCCCAGCUAUGGCUUCCGCACGUGCCAUGCUCGUGCUCCUCCUCUCUCUUCUUUCGCUCUCUUCCUCCUCCAUUGCUCAAUCUCCCUCCCCUUCUCCAGGUCCCGCCUCCCCGCCGCACCUCCCCCGUCAACUCCACCCCCGGUAGCACCUCCCCCGACCACACCUCCCCCUGCAGCCUCACCGCCAUCUAGCAUCUCAACUCCACCGGCAGCGGCUCCUACCGCCACCCCACCGAUGAUGGCAUCUCCCCCUCCAAUGGAACCAAGCACAGCCCCAGCCCCAGGCCCAGCAAUGCCCGAAGGUCCACCGUCGCCUCCAAGCCAAAGCCCAAUGUCUCCACCGGGUCCGGCUCCAGCUCCAGCUCCAACCCCGCCGUCGGCUCGGCCGCGGAGCGCGGGAUUUUCCAUCCAUCAAGGUGGGUACAUGGCGGGUGUUGCGGCGGUGUUGGGUGGACUGGCCGUCGUAUUGGUUUAAUUAACACAGCAUAGUACUUGAAUUUGCUGUAGAUUAUUAUGAGCUCCAUACUCAUUUGUGUAUUCUUUUUUUAUUUGAAUUUCUUCACCAUCUCCAUCUCUUGAGAGCAUCCUUGAGUGAGUGAUAUUUGUGGGAUUUGUUAGCAUUUUCAUUUUUUCUUUUUGCUAGUUGAAUAAGAGAGACUUGUUUCUUGUUCAUGGUUUCAUAAUAAUUUAACUCAAUUAUACAUUUUAUGCUGAUAGAUAAAACAAAACAAAAAAAUCAAUUUUGG